UAGAGUCCAUAUGGGAGAUCCCAGCCU
rnacentral:piRNA from 1 species